GACUGGAGAGGCCAGCACGCACAGUGACUUAAUCCAAGAAGAUGGAAUAAAAAGGCCUACCUCAUUGGGCUCGUGUGGGUGAGGAGAACUGAAGAGUCUGAGAGCGCGGCACGAGCCAGAGGCUACGGAAAACACUGCCCUCCUACACUCCACCUUGGAGAGACCCAGAAAAGAACAAGCUUCAUUUGUAAAAAAGGAAAACAACUCAGGCAAUGGGGGUGGCUUAAAGGCACUCUACAGUGUGCAGAUGCCUUCCACUUCUUCCAUCUGCCCUGUCUCUCCAAGAACCCCUAUGGCCCCGGUCUCAGA
rnacentral:lncRNA from 1 species